AACAGGAUCUUUCAUCAACUCAAGUGAUAUUGGACAGCGGAAGUCAUCUGGAAUAACGGGAGAUCUGUGCUUAAUCAAACUCUUGUCACCCUCAAGAGCAUCCAGUUCAGGAUUCUCUGUCAUUGCACAGUCCUUCAGCUUUCUUAGGAGGUAUGCUAUUGUUUCAAAACACUCUUCGGGAUCUCCACCACUAGAAAUGACCAUGUCAUGGAUGGCAAGCGACUCCUUCUUUAGAUCAUUUAUGGUCCUGAGAUGCAGUUUCUCAGACAGCCGUUUGAAAAUCAGGGGGUCAGGAUAUUGUUCCCUUUGUGCCAUAGCUAAAUCCUUUUCAAGUUGCUCAUCAGGUGACUCCAUCUUUCCUUUGGCUCUUUUAAAUUGAGCAUGCA
rnacentral:misc_RNA from 1 species